CACGCCUCACCGAGCGCGUCAUGGGGAUCGACCAGACCGGCGCUCCGGUCGAGAUCAGCGUACCGGUCGAGCGUCCGCUGACCCUCUAUCUGAACUCGCAAGAGAUCGUCACCAUGAUGACGAUCAACGACUAUCCGGAAUAUCUCGCGCUCGGCUAUCUCCUUAACCAGAAUAUGCUGAAGCUCGACGAUAUCGUGACCGAGGUGGUCUACGACGACGAUCUCCAGGUCGUGGUCGUCUACACCGAGCGCGGCACCAACUUUGAAGAGAAGCUGAAGAAGAAAACGCUCACCUCCGGCUGCGCACAAGGCACAGCCUUCGGCGACCUUAUGGAGGCGAUCGAA
rnacentral:misc_RNA from 1 species